GGAUUGGGCAACUCAGAUGACGGAAAAUGACAGAACGGGAAGCUAAUUGUGCCUGCCAGUCAAAUCACAAGAUACAGACAGCCCCUCGUACACCUUCCCGCACCCUAGCAUUUCUCUGUCAUUCCCUCUCCCCAGUUAUUCUUCUCAGUCGUUCAGCCACAGAGUAAUGUCGUUAAUGGCUUCCAUCCUCCUUCUCUCUCCCCUCCUCGCCGCCACUUUGCCUCUCCGAUUAUAAUAUUCCGAUGACAGCAUAAGUCCAUUCCAUUUCCACCUGCUCUGCACCUACUCAACCCUCUCUUCUCUCUCUCUCUGUCUCUCUGUGUCUCGGAGUUUUCGCUCUUCCAUGGCCACCGCCGGCGGGUUCUCGUUCUCACUCUGAGCUGAGCUGUGGUGUGGUGUGGCUGAGCUUGCUUGCUUUGCCCGAGAGCAUGUCGGAGAGCCGCGACGAGUCGGCGCGGAAGACCUUCCGAGCUCUGGUGGAGAGGGCGGACAAGAAGUUCGCCCGCGUCCGCGACCUCCCCCCGUACGGCACCGCCGCGGCCCAGGGCCACCUCUUCCCAAAGGCGUUCAAGGCCUACAUGCGGCUCUGGAAGUUCCAGCAGGAGAACCGGCAGAGCCUCGUGGAGUCCGGCCUGAACCGGUGGGAGAUCGGCGAGAUCGCCAGCCGGAUCGGCCAGCUCUACUUCAGCCAGUACAUGAGGACCAGCGAGGCGAGGUUCCUGGUGGAGGCGUACAUCUUCUACGAGGCUAUUCUCAGCCGGAAGUACUUCGAGGGCAGCGGCCCCAAGGCGAAGGAUCUCGGAGUCCGGGCAAAGGAAUUGAGGUUCUACGCGAGGUUUCUGCUCGUCGCCCUGAUUCUGAACCGGACCGAGAUGGUGAAAAUGCUCGUCGAGAAAUUCAAGGCAGUGAUUGACGAUUGCGAGGCUACUUUCCGGGAAACAAAUUUCAGAGAGUGGAAGAUAGUGCUUAAAGAAAUUGUCCGCUUUAUGAAAGUAGAUUCUGCCUUCACAAGUGAUUGUCCUUUGCGCUACUGCCCCAGCUUUGAUUCUCAUUCAGCUUCGCUACCUUAUGUUUUUCGGUUCCAUGCAAAGAAGGUCUUGAAAUUUCGAGAUGCGAUACUUACAAGUUAUCAUCGGAAUGAGGUAAAAUAUGCAGAACUUACUCUGGACAGUCAUAGGAUGCUGCAAUGUUUAGAAUGGGAACCAAGUGCCUCGUUCUACCGAAAACGCUCAGCUGAUUCAAAUGAGAACGGUGGUUUUGUUGAUCAUUCUGCAGCUUCUGGGCUUAUUGAGAUGAAUUUGCCUGACAUGAGUGAUCCGUCUUUGCCUCCCAAUCCUAAGAAGGCCAUUCUUUAUCGCCCAUCUGUAACACAUCUAAUAGCAGUUAUUGCUACGGUUUGUGAGGAACUCCCGCCUGAGAGUGUUAUCCUGAUAUACCUCUCAGCUCCAGGAAAGCCUAGUGGGCAGAACACUUCGCAGAUUGAAAGCUCAGGUGGAUCAACGAAAUCUUCAAAAAGCAUGAUUAGUUCGGAGACCUCCCAUUGUUCCACAUCUGGAUCUGAUGUUGAUGGCCAGAAAAUGUCAAGCUGUCACAAUAGUUGUCUGUGGUUAGGUCCCAAGGGAAGUGGUGGUUCGAAUACGCUGUAUCCUGCUGAUAUAAUUCCUUUUACCAGAAGACCUUUGUUUUUGAUUAUCGAUAGUGACAACAGCCAAGCAUUCAAGGCAGGUAAUUCAUGGUGCGGAGAGAGGCGAGACUGCUGCUCUGUUUCUAUCACCUUUAAGACCGUCUUUUAGGAACCUCUCUGAUGCUGCUCAAAUAGAAAAUGGGAGUCAAUUCACGUACUUCUUGACUGCUCCACUGCUCGCAUUUCGCCAAAUGGCUGGGCUGUCUUCUUCGGACAUUAAUCCUGGUCUUUAUAAUGAUGCUGAGAACAUUCUCGCCACUGCCUUUGGUGCAUGGGAAGUGAUGCUUUGCAAAUCAAAAGAUCUCGAUCUGGUCUGGGCUCAGGUUUUAUCUGAUCCUUUCAUCCGCCGACUUAUUUUAAGAUUUAUCUUCUGCCGGGCCGUGCUCUUCUUUUUCUGCUCUCCAGAAUGCAGAGAAGAUUAUCUGCCUCUUUGCCUCCCCGACCUUCCAAGCUCGUUCUCCCCAGAAUCUGAUGGCGUCCUCUCCACUAUUGUUCAGAUUGCAGAUCACUUUGGAGUCGCUAGUUACUUCCAUACAUAACUUGCCAGACAGCAAAGGAUACAACUAUAUUGAGUUUGUACAAUAUCAAUGCAGCUUGUAUAAUUCUUCUGUCGAACCGGAGCAAUAUCAGCUCAAGAUGAGGAUAUAGAAUAUCAGCACAGCUCACUUCUCAGGAACAUUGGACAGACAUCUCAUUGGGAGGCUAAACUGAGCACCGUGCAUCCUUUGUUCUUGUCUUCUGUUCUGUCUGUGUAGUCUCCACUGGUUGCUUUCAAAUUCGUGAGCCGCAUUAGGAGGGCACUCUUGCCUAUAUGUCAUUGUUUCGUAGUUCUCAUUAGUUCCUUCAUACCUUUGUAGAAGAAAACUAGGUAGUCGAAACACUGAGCCGUUUGUGUAUCAUCUUAGGUUGUUUUCCCCCUUUUAAGCAAAAUUACAGAGGGAGCUGCUGCGUAGAAGUAGUGUGUAUAUUUGGAGAGUAUUCAUCGGCGAAUGGUUCCAUAAAAAAAAAUGUCCAUACUCACUCCUUUCUCUUCGGAGUCGUACUCUUUGUAUGUGCGUAGUCUUUCUUGUCGACCUCUU